CUACUUACCUGGCGUAGGGAUACAGUGAUCAUGCAGGCGGUUCCCCCAGGGUGAGGCUGCUCCAUUGCACUGCGGAGUGGUUGACUCUUGCGUUUUUUUUUACUUUUAUAGGUUCACUUUUAUCGUGUGUGACUUGCACACACACACACACACA
rnacentral:snRNA from 9 species